rnacentral:lncRNA from 1 species
CUCUUCUUCCAGAUAAACAACUAAACAUUCUUUUUUUUUCUUUUGUUUGAGUAUGGAUCAAGAAAACCAAUUGAUCCACAACACCUCAACAUGGAAGACAAGAAAACCCACCUGCCAUAUUCAAGCUUCAUACAUUCUUUUUUUUUCUUUUGUUUGAGUAUGGAUCAAGAAAACCAAUUGAUCCACAACACCUCAACAUGGAAGACAAGAAAACCCACCUGCCAUAUUCAAGCUUCAUUGUCCCUUCAACAAAAUGAUCACAGGCUCAAGUGUAACUCUUCAAAUAAAACAAGCAGUGAUGAGGAUGAUGAGGGCGAAGAGAA